ensembl:lncRNA
UUAUAAAACAAAGCAAAGCCUUUCCAGUGCCUCACAAAGAGACUGAUCUUUCACACAGUCACUUACCUGAAAAAGGCAUUCUGCUGUGGACUGUUAUCUGUGCUUUAUCGGCGGCAAUAUUGCUGUUGGUGGUGGGCCUGCUUCUUCAUAAGAGGCAGAAAGUAUCAGCUUGUUUUUCAUCAGAACAGGUUUCACACUCAGAGGAAGACAACACCGGCCAGGAAGACAAGAACACCACUGACCCACAUCAAGCGGCAUAUGUCGUGGUCAGAAAACAAAGGACUACUAAAAGUAAAUUUUUAGUAGUCCUUUAUACUUUAUGCCUAAAUGAAUUAAAUACUUAAAUAAAUAACAGCAUGUGACAAAGAGCAUUUUAGUGUUUCGGUUUUAUCUUAUAUUUGUCGUUAGAUGGAAAUUAAUUUUAUCUGCCUAUGAACUUUUUAAGAAUGUCAGCAUUUGUGUAAGUAUCUCUUUCUCCAGUCAUUGUAAUUAUAAAUAGCAUCAAUAAAAG